UCACAUUCAGAAGUACUGUGGG
rnacentral:piRNA from 1 species